CCUGCCCCAACCUCCCCUUUGAAAAGGCCACUAUGUAGAGGUAGCAUGCUUACAACCCAUGAUGAUUUUGCGUUGCUUAAAUCUCUCUCACAUGGCAUAUGACUUUUGCCCUCUGAGUGCUGGAUUUCUUACAGUCUCUUCCUUCCCCACCACCACCACCAGGCUGGAUUUCAUGACAUCAGGGGAUGAUUGAAGAGGUCUCUGGAUAAGGCUGAGUGACCCACCUUAGCCAUGUGUGAAAGUCGACUGGCUGUCCAAGAGCAGGUUGACUAAUAGUGAUUACAGUAAGUAAAAUCACAGUGAGUCAGGGAGUCAGUCAGUGAGUAAGUACGGCCAGCUUCAUUUGAUAUGGAGGCUCUUUUCACUGUGCAAGUGAGUGUGGUGAUUGGGUUAAAACAGUGGGAGUAGUGUAUGCAAAUUGACUUGCAGUGGAAGCAAUUCCUCUCAUGUUCUCUCUUUU
rnacentral:lncRNA from 1 species